UACAGAGGUCUCAACCGUUGUUCGGAUUCAUUGGGCGUAAAGGGUGCGUAGGCGGUCGUGCAAGUCGGAUGUGAAAUCUCAGGGCUCAACCCUGAAACUGCAUUCGAUACUGCGCGGCUAGAGUGCUGGAGGGGAGACUGGAAUUUACGGUGUAGCAGUGAAAUGCGUAGAUAUCUGGAGGAACACCGGUGGCGAAGGCGGCAUCCUGGACCAACACUGACACUGAGGAGCGAAAGCCAGGGGAGCAAACGGG
rnacentral:rRNA from 1 species